GACAACAACAAGAGGAGAGACAGAAACAAAUGGAGAAAGAGAAAGAAAGGGAGAAAGACAAUGAGAAUCAGGGAGAGAAGGAAUUAAAAGAUCAGCAACAGAAAGAGAUGGAGAAAGAAAAUAUGAUUAUGAGAGAGAGGGAGGAAGUAGGAAGAAGAAAUGAGGGGCAGAAUGAACUGGAGAUAGAACAGGAGAGAGAGAUGGAAGAAAAGCAGGAAGUGAUUAUUAAGAAAGCAGAGGAAGAGUACAUGGAAAGAGAAGAGAGAGGAAAGGAAGUAAGCAUGAAGAAAGAUGUAGUAGUUAAUGUUAAAGCUAAAGCACGGGAAGUCUUCAAUAGACGUAAAGAGAGGAGGUUAGAAGUGUUGAAGGGGGAACGAGAACACAUAGAAAGAGGACAACAAAUCAGGAGGGAGAAGGAGGAAAGACGGCUGGAGAUGGAAAGAAAACAGGAGAGGGCAAGACAACAAGAGGAGCAGGAUAAAAAACGAGAGAUUGGAAUUGCCAGACAGAAAGAAAUGUUCAGACUAAGAGAGGAGGAGAGGCAGAGAGAGGAAAAGAGAGAGGAGGAGAGAAAGAGAGCUAUUGAAGGCCAUUUAGCUUUAAUCAGAGAGAGAGAGAACACCAUAAAGGCAAACAAAAGAGAGGAGAUGUCAGAAGAGGAAAGAAGAGAGAUCCCUGGGAAUUACAAGAUGGGUGAGACAGAGAACAGUGAAGAGGAGGAGGAGAAGGAAGAUGACAAGGAGGACAUUCUCCCACCUGAUAAAAGUAUCCGAAGGAGAGCUGUGGACUGGGUGAAUAAGAAGUGGGAGAAGUGGAACCUCAAAAAGAUCGAGAGAACGUAUCAGAGAGAGGCUAGGGAGGGCUAUAAGAUCGUCCACCUAGGUAAGACCUGUUUUACCUCUGCUUUAUCCACCAUGACCCGGGCAGAGAGAGAGAGGGAGAAGAGGAAGGAGCUGCUGAAGGAUGAGGAGAGAAGGAAGAAGUUGGAGGAUUUCAAUAAGCAGUGGAGAGAGCAGUCCCUGCUUAAAAAAAGGACUCAUCAGAAUCUGAAGGAGGAGAGAGAGAGGAUGAAGGAAAAGUACCUGGACCAGAUGAAUCUUGAGGCUGAUGC
rnacentral:lncRNA from 1 species